GGAGUUAGCCGGUGCUUCUUCUGUGAGUGAUGUCCUUCCUGCCGGCUAUUAACCCGCAGGCCUUCUUCCUCACUGAAAGUGCUUUACAACCCGAAGGCCUUCUUCACACACGCGGCAUGGCUGGAUCAGGGUUGCCCCCAUUGUCCAAUAUUCCCCACUGCUGCCUCCCGUAGGAGUCUGGGCCGUGUCUCAGUCCCAGUGUGGCUGAUCAUCCUCUCAGACCAGCUACGGAUCGUCGCCUUGGUGAGCCGUUACCUCACCAACCAGCUAAUCCGACAUAGGCUCAUCCGAUAGCGCGAGGCCCGAAGGUCCCCCGCUUUCCCCCGUAGGGCGUAUGCGGUAUUAGCCUGGGUUUCCCCCAGGUUAUCCCCCACUACCGGGCAGAUUCCUAUGCAUUACUCACCCGUCCGCCGCUCGCCACCAGGGAGCAAGCUCCCCGUGCUGCCGCUCGACUUGCAUGUGUUAGGCCGUCGCCGCCACGCGUUCACUCUGAGCCAGAAUACGACCCUACGA
rnacentral:rRNA from 1 species